CUUUUCCUACCUGAACUAUCACUAUCUAUGUAUUGAAACACACCUAGUUGAGUAGAUGAUGAUAAUUCAGGUAGGAAAAGAAACCGCUAGUAGAUGGUCUAGGUGUAUUUUAAUACAUAGAUGAUAUUCGGGUACGAAAAGGGUAGGUGUUUUUGAAUACAUAGACGAUAUUCGGGUAUGAAAAGGGUAGGUGUGUUUUAAUGCAUGGACGAUAUUCGGGUACGAAAAGGGUAGAUGUGUUUUAAUACAUAGACGAUAUUAGGGUACGAAAUGGGUAGGUGUGUUUUAAUACAAAAGAUGAUAUUGGGGUUACGAAAAAGGUAGGUGUGUUUUAAUAUAUAGAAGAUAUUCAGUUACGAAAAGGGUAGUGUGUUUUAAUACAUAGUUCAGGUACGAAAAGGAUAGUUGGGGUGUGAAACUCGCUAAAAAGUGAUAG